rnacentral:lncRNA from 10 species
AGAUAAUGCACAUCUAUAUAGUCCUCAAUUAGAGUCACUGAUAAUGCCAGUUGAAAGGACACUAAUGAUGAGACUGAGUUAGGAUGCCAGAGGAGAGUUUAUGAGACAUCAAGGGAAUUGAAGCAGCACUGGCAGGGAGUGUCUCAGACUAUGAUAAGGAUCUGACAAGGUCUCAGCCGACCUAACACAGAGCUCCAGAGCAAAGAUUUCCCACUGCACAGCUGGUAUCACGCACUGAUCAGUCACUGGCUGGGCACUGCUGGGGAAGAGUGUUGCCUCAGCUCAAAAGCAGAAUCGGAUCCUGAAGGACCUAAUGACUAGAAACUUCCAGCUGACUACACUCUGCAACUGACUGCAUGAAGAGAAUCAAGACUGAAGACCAAAAUUGCUUUUCUCUCCUCUCGAUAACACUGUCAGCGUGGAGCAGGCCGACUGUGGAGGAACUUCAAUCGGGGCUAAAUUUACAUUCAUUCAGGUGUCACCGGACUCUGCUUUCUUGCCUCUCUUUUCUGAUCAAUGCACUCAUUAAAGGGCUCAAGCUUGGCAAUAGAUUCACCUUAAUGCUCGUCACCCUGGGGUUUCAAUAACACAGGCUCUGAGACUCUAACAAGCUGCUGAAGAAUGAAAAGAAAAAAAGCAAAAAAGCUUUAUCUUUCCCUUCUUGUAUAGAGUCCUGAAAUUGUUUCUCUUUGUCUUUUACAAACAGUUCUAUUGACUGUAGUAAUUUUAUGGAGGAGCUUUGAGGGGCAUAUAUGGGAAGAGAGAAAUUUGGAAAAUAUGUGGAGCAGGUGUACAGAACGAAUAUACAUCUAUUUAUUCCAAAAGAGUGAGAAAUUUGGAUCACAUUUAUUUCUGUUUUUCCUAACUUGGAAGAUUUGUUUGGAAACUUAAAAUAAAAGGUUUGUUUAACUUUUACCAAAUUACAUUUUAUUUGUCUUAACAGAAGGAUGCUUUCACUUCUACACAUUCCAUUGUAGAAUCUGUCUACAUGCUCAUGUAUUUU